CAACCUGCCUGUAAGACUGGGAUAACUUCGGGAAACCGAAGCUAAUACCGGAUAGGAUCUUCUCCUUCAUGGGAGAUGAUUGAAAGAUGGUUUCGGCUAUCACUUACAGAUGGGCCCGCGGUGCAUUAGCUAGUUGGUGAGGUAACGGCUCACCAAGGCAACGAUGCAUAGCCGACCUGAGAGGGUGAUCGGCCACACUGGGACUGAGACACGGCCCAGACUCCUACGGGAGGCAGCAGUAGGGAAUCUUCCGCAAUGGACGAAAGUCUGCGGAGCAACGCCGCGUGAGUGAUGAAGGCUUUCGGGUCGUAAAACUCUGUUGUUAGGGAAGAACAAGUACAAGAGUAACUGCUUGUACCUUGACGGUACCUAACCAGAAAGCCACGGCUAACUACGUGCCAGCAGCCGCGGUAAUACGU
rnacentral:rRNA from 1 species